CACGUAUUUAGCCGGGGCUUCUUAGUCAGGUACCGUCAUUUUCUUCCCUGCUGAUAGGGCUUUACGCGCCGAGGCGCUCCAUCGCCCACGCGGCGUCGCUGCAUCAGGGUUCCCCCCAUUGUGCAAUAUCCCCCACUGCUGCCUCCCGUAGGAGUUUGGGCCGUGUCUCAGUCCCAAUGUGGCCGCCCACCCUCUCAGGCCGGCUACUGAUCGUCGCCUUGGUGGGCCGUUGCCCCGCCAACAAGCUAAUCAGACGCGGGCCCAUCCCGCACCGCCAAGGCUUUCCGCACCGCCCCAUGCGGGGCUGUGCGCCCAUGCGGUAUUAGCAGCCGUUUCCGGCUGUUGUCCCCCAGUGCGGGGCAGGUUGCCCACGCGUUACUCACCCGUCCGCCACUGGGCGGCGCCGGCUUCAGCCCCGGAGGGCCCCCGCCGGCGCGCCCCGUUCGACUUGCAUGUGUUAGGCACGCCGCCAGCGUUCAUCCUGAGCCAGGAUCAAACUCU
rnacentral:rRNA from 1 species